UACAGAGGUCCCAAGCGUUGUUCGGAUUCAUUGGGCGUAAAGGGUGCGUAGGUGGCGCUGUAAGUCAGGUGUGAAAUUUCGGAGCUUAACUCCGAAACUGCACUUGAUACUGCGGUGCUUGAGGACUGGAGAGGAGACUGGAAUUUACGGUGUAGCAGUGAAAUGCGUAGAUAUCGUAAGGAAGACCAGUGGCGAAGGCGGGUCUCUGGACAGUUCCUGACACUGAGGCACGAAGGCCAGGGGAGCAAACGGG
rnacentral:rRNA from 1 species